rnacentral:rRNA from 1 species
GACGAACGCUGGCGGCGUGCUUAACACAUGCAAGUCGAACGGAAAGGCCCUGCUUUUGUGGGGUGCUCGAGUGGCGAACGGGUGAGUAACACGUGAGUAACCUGCCCUUGACUUUGGGAUAACUUCAGGAAACUGGGGCUAAUACCGGAUAGGAGCUCCUGCUGCAUGGUGGGGGUUGGAAAGUUUCGGCGGUUGGGGAUGGACUCGCGGCUUAUCAGCUUGUUGGUGGGGUAGUGGCUUACCAAGGCUUUGACGAGUAGCCGGCCUGAGAGGGUGACCGGCCACAUUGGGACUGAGAUACGGCCCAGACUCCUACGGGAGGCAGCAGUGGGGAAUAUUGCACAAUGGGCGGAAGCCUGAUGCAGCAACGCCGCGUGCGGGAUGACGGCCUUCGGGUUGUAAACCGCUUUCGCCUGUGACGAAGCUUGAGUGACGGUAAUGGGUAAAGAAGCACCGGCUAACUACGUG